UGCUUAACACAUGCAAGUCGAACGGCAGCACAGGGUAGCUUGCUAUCCGGGUGGCGAGUGGCGGACGGGUGAGUAACGCGUAGGAAUCUACCUUUUCGUGGGGGAUAACCCGGGGAAACUCGGGCUAAUACCGCAUACGCCCUACGGGGGAAAGCGGGGGACCUUCGGGCCUCGCGCGGAACGAUGAGCCUGCGUCCUAUCAGGUAGUUGGUGGGGUAAUGGCUCACCAAGCCGACGACGGGUAGCUGGUCUGAGAGGACGACCAGCCACACUGGGACUGAGACACGGCCCAGACUCCUACGGGAGGCAGCAGUGGGGAAUAUUGGACAAUGGGGGAAACCCUGAUCCAGCAAUACCGCGUGUGUGAAGAAGGCCUUCGGGUUGUAAAGCAC
rnacentral:rRNA from 1 species